UCUUAUGGAUGAGCAAAGAAAAAGUGAUUUCUUGAGAUGGAAUCUACUCCUGGUGAAGACACUGUGAA
rnacentral:pre_miRNA from 1 species